rnacentral:rRNA from 1 species
CAGGCAAGAGCUCAGAUUUGAAAGCCUUUUUGGCAUUGUAUUCUGAAGUCAGUUUCCUGAGUAUCGGUGUUUAAGUCUUCUGGGAAAGGAGCGCCAUGGAGGGUGAUAGCCCCGUACGACACCUCACUCAUUGUAGGAUUCUGACGUGGGAGUCGAGUUGUUUGGGAAUGCAGCUCAAAAGGGUGGUAUGCUCCAUCUAAAGCUAAAUAUCUGUGAGAGACCGAUAGCGAACAAGUACUGUGAAGGAAAGAUGAAAAGAACUUUGAAAAGAGAGUGAAAAAGUACGUGAAAUUGUUGAAAUGGAAGGAUAUGCCGCUAACAAUGUAGAGCCGUGUUUGGGGGGAAGACAAAAGCUGAA